GAAGUCCCACCCACUGAGAAGGGAAGUUCUGCCCACUGUGGAUGGUAUUAUUGUCAUCUCUGGCUGAGAUCCAGGUCUGUUCCCAUGGAGAAAGUGAGCUGAGCACAUUACUGCUGCCUUCUUCCUAACUGUAGACAGCACGAGACCAGCUCCUGUGGCCUUGACUUCUCUGCCAGGAUGGGCUGACCGUACUUUGGAACUAACAACGUGUCCUUAGAAAAGAGCUUUCUUAUUGAAAUGGAACUUUGUGGAACCCGAGGAAUGUGGCUGGGAUGGAUGGAGCUACCUGUCACUGCUGUGAGCCAUGGCUGCCCACGCCCACAGGACCAGUGUUGUGCCUCUCAGAGCAAGACACUGUUGGAGGUCCAGUGGACAGGACCCCCCCACCCCCAAUGAAAAGCAGAAACCGUUUGUUUCAGACCUGGGUGUUGGCCAGGUCAGGCUGGUGGGUGUGCCCAAGUGCACCUUGAUUUCUGUCCAGGUAGUGCCUCUUCUAAUAUAGAUGCAAGACAAAGGUCAAAUAGCCACCCUGCGGUCCGGUACAACUCAUAGUGUAAUGAUUGAGGGUGAGGUUUAUCUUAUUUAAUUUUAAUUUAUUUUUGUUCAACUGUUUGGAUUAAGAUUGUCGCUGUAAUUGCAUUUACUAAAACCCUAGAUAAUCGUAUGCCUCACAAAUAGAUUUUUUUUUCCCCUUCGAGGUCAUACCAAGGCCAUAACUUUGACCUUUUCAUAAGAACCUGGUGUCUUCCAGCUCCUGGUGAAUUCACUGCCACACGGUACAAAUUUUAAAAGGUGCCUGCAGCAUGUCUCUUUGUCUCCUGGUGUUUUGUGUGGAUGUUCACGGAGUUUUUCCUUCUAACCAACAACCACAAAUCUUCCUUAGAAUGCCAUGUCUCUAGUUGCUCUCAGUUUCCUUUAAAUCUAUAAGCAAAUAGCAAUAAAUCUGGGAGGGAACU